CUCGACAUUAUAAAGUCAUUUUAGGUGGACCAUAUAUGGCCAUAUAUAAUAAUAUAUUGAUCAAUAUACAGGAGUCUCUGAUUGAAUCAUCUCAGCUCUCAUAUCACGUAUGACGCGCCUACGUCACGUCGUCACAACCUGAAGCUAAAGUGGCGAGAGAGCCGUCUCGGCUCGAGCGCGGUCCGGAUUUUAGCUCCACACUGUCGCCAGCCAGACUCCCCACCACAGUGACACAAACCAACCAGCCGCCUCGAGAGGUUGCUGAAGAGGUAUGCAGCGAUGGUCUGGAGGAAAAAAUAGUCACAUGGACUGGUGUGCAUUCCAGUACUUGAAAUGAUGCUGUUGCUCAGGCACAUCCAGGUGCGAGGAUGGGGGAGAUCCGGAUGUCGCUAAAUAAAAGAAUCUGUGAACUGCUUCACCAAGAGAAAAAGAAGUCCAUGGACAGGCCUAUGAGCCCUCUUGUUGACCUUGAGUGACUGAGGCUGCGGGCGGUCUGCCCCUGAAUUCACCUUCACUUUCUUUUCUUUUAAAAAAAAAUAUAUCUGAAGGUGUGUGUGUGUGUGUGUGCGCGAGCGCGGGUGUGUGUGUGUGGGCGCGGGCACGCGUAUGUGUUUGUGUGUGUGCGCGUGUGUGUGUGCACGCGUGCAUGUGUGCCAGUGCUUUAUGUGAGGUGUUUCGCUUACCGGCCACAGCCACAGUUUUUGUUUUGUUUUCUUUUUGUUUUAUUUGGGUUUUUUUUUUGUUUUUUGGGUUUUUUUUUAGAAUAUUUCUGCAUUUACAUUAAGUACAAGUUACUGGCCAAAGUGGGAGACUGAAAUUGUUACUGGCCACAGGCAAGUUUCACCAGCAUUUGGCCUAUUGGCCGGUGUCGUUGUCAAGUCGUUUCCCUGCCUGUCUGCCCCUCUGUCUCUGCAUGUGGGAGCGGUGGUGUUAAAGGGUCGGUUGGUUUCAUGUUUUUAAUAAACCAAUGUCAACAGUUGAAUGAAUUGAAUUGAUGUUUGGUCAUUGUUGUAAUUACAUUACUUCAUAAAUGCCUUGUAUAAAGUACGUUACAGUAUAUUGUGUAGUGUAAUGCAAUACAUAAGUCAAUAUAUGAUUUAAUUAAUAAGCCAUAUACUAUGGGAUAUAAUCCAAUAUAUGCAACAGUAUACUUUACAGUAUAAUGCAAUACAUAAAUCAAUAUAUGAUUCAUCAAUAAGCCAUAUAUUAUGGGAUAUAAUUCAAUAUAUGCAGUAAUAUACUGUACAGUAUAAUGCAAUACAUUAAUCAGUAUAUGAUUCAUCAAUAAGCCAUAUAUUAUGGGGUAUAAUUCCAUAUAUGCAGUAAUAUACUGUACAGUAUAAUGCAAUACAUAAAUCAAUAUAUGAUUCAUCAAUAAGCCAUAUACUAUGGGGUAUAAUUCAAUAUAUGCAACAAUAUAUUGUACAGUAUAAUACAAUACAUAAAUCAAUAUAUGAUUUAUCAAUAAGUCAUAUACUAUAUGGGAUAUAAUUCCAUAUAUCCAACAAUAUAUUUCACAGUAUAAUGCAAUACAUAAGUCAAUAUACGAAAACGGCAAUAAUGUCUAUAUUCUCGUAUACCGCAAAAUAUAUCACUUUAUAUUGUGCAAUAUACUGCUGUACAAUAUAAAAUGAUAUAUUGGCAAACAAUAUAUUGUAGUAUAUUAUAAUAUAUUUUCAUUUCAUAU